UUUCCGUAGGUGAACCCGCGGAAGGAUCAUUAACACGAACAAAAUGUUCCAAAACCUUUUUGGAUCAACGCCAACCUUUGAAAAGGCGAACCUAGUUGUAUUUUUCUCCUUUUUCUAUUUCGUUUUUCUCAAACGCAACUUCUCAUGGAAAUUGACUAGAAUCGUGUGAUUUGUUCCAAUCCUAUCACCUCUUUCUCCUCUCCUCUCCUCGUGAGAUGAGAUGGGAUGUGAGAUGGGAGAUGGGGGGUGGGUUUGGAACUAACCAUUCCUAACGCUAAAACAACUCUUAACAACGGAUAUCUUGGCUCUC
rnacentral:misc_RNA from 1 species